AGUGAACGCUGGCGGUAGGCCUAACACAUGCAAGUCGAACGGCAGCACAGUAAGAGCUUGCUCUUACGGGUGGCGAGUGGCGGACGGGUGAGGAAUAGAUCGGAAUCUACUUUUUCGUGGGGGAUAACGUAGGGAAACUUACGCUAAUACCGCAUACGACCUACGGGUGAAAGCAGGGGAUCUUCGGACCUUGCGCAAUUGAAUGAGCCGAUGUCGGAUUAGCUAGUUGGCGGGGUAAAGGCCCACCAAGGCGACGAUCCGUAGCUGGUCUGAGAGGAUGAUCAGCCACACUGGAACUGAGACACGGUCCAGACUCCUACGGGAGGCAGCAGUGGGGAAUAUUGGACAAUGGGCGCAAGCCUGAUCCAGCCAUACCGCGUGGGUGAAGAAGGCCUUCGGGUUGUAAAGCCCUUUUGUUGGGAAAGAAAAGCAGCAGGUUAAUACCCCGCUGUUCUGACGGUACCCAAAGAAUAAGCACCGGCUAACUUCGUG
rnacentral:rRNA from 1 species